GAGGUUCUGGGACCACAGACAUGGGAACCUUUAACUGAUCUUCCUCAGUCAUCUCCAUUCCUUUCUUGACCUUUUUCACCAUCUUCAUUUUUACAGGACCCUGCCUGGGUACAGGGUUGACAUCCCCCUCCAUGAUCUGUGCCAAACUGAUGAUCUUGGAGUCCACCAAGUCUUGGACAACAUGCCUGAAAGCCCUACAACCCUCAACACUGUGCCCGGGUGCCUCAGAAUGGAACUCGCACCUGGCAUUCUCAUCAUAGUUUGGAAGCCUCCGCUGCUGUUCUACAGGAAUCAAAAUCCUCGGCCGAACUAAUCCCAGAUCUCUCAAUCUCCUGAACAAAAGGGUAUAAGUCACAGGUGGUUCCUCAAACUGACGAUCCUCCUUCUUCUUCCUCACCUGGC
rnacentral:lncRNA from 1 species